GACGAACGCUGGCGGCGUGCUUAACACAUGCAAGUCGAACGAAGAGCGACGGAAGCUUGCUUCUAUCAAUCUUAGUGGCGAUCGGGUGAGUAACGCGUAAUCAACCUGCCCUUCAGAGGGGGACAACAGUUGGAAACGACUGCUAAUACCGCAUACGAUCUAAUCUCGGCAUCGAGGAUGGAUGAAAGGUGGCCUCUACAUGUAAGCUAUCACUGAAGGAGGGGAUUGCGUCUGAUUAGCUAGUUGGAGGGGUAACGGCCCACCAAGGCGAUGAUCAGUAGCCGGUCUGAGAGGAUGAACGGCCACAUUGGGACUGAGACACGGCCCAGACUCCUACGGGAGGCAGCAGUGGGGAAUCUUCCGCAAUGGACGAAAGUCUGACGGAGCAACGCCGCGUGAGUGAUGACGGCCGUCGGGUUGUAAAGCUCUGUUAAUCGGGACGAAAGGCCUUCUUGCGAAUAGUGAGAAGGAUUGACGGUACCGGAAUAGAAAGCCACGGCUAACUACGUG
rnacentral:rRNA from 1 species